rnacentral:rRNA from 1 species
UAGGGAAUCUUCGGCAAUGGACGAAAGUCUGACCGAGCAACGCCGCGUGAGUGAAGAAGGUUUUCGGAUCGUAAAACUCUGUUGUUAGAGAAGAACAAGGACGUUAGUAACUGAACGUCCCCUGACGGUAUCUAACCAGAAAGCUACGGCUAACUACGUGCCAGCAGCCGCGGUAAUACGUAGGUGGCAAGCGUUGUCCGGAUCUAUUGGGCGUAAAGCGAGCGCAGGCGGUUUCUUAAGUCUGAUGUGAAAGCCCCCGGCUCAACCGGGGAGGGUCAUUGGAAACUGGGAGACUUGAGUGCAGAAGAGGAGAGUGGAAUUCCAUGUGUAGCGGUGAAAUGCGUAGAUGUAGGGAGGAACACCAGUGGCGAAGGCGGCUCUCUGGUCUGUAACUGACGCUGAGGCUCGAAAGCGUGGGGAGCAAACAGG